UGGGGAAUUUUGGACAAUGGGCGAAAGCCUGAUCCAGCAAUGCCGCGUGUGUGAAGAAGGCCUUCGGGUUGUAAAGCACUUUUGUCCGGAAAGAAAUCCUUGGCUCUAAUACAGUCGGGGGAUGACGGUACCGGAAGAAUAAGCACCGGCUAACUACGUGCCAGCAGCCGCGGUAAUACGCAGGGUGCAAGCGUUAAUCGGAAUUACUGGGCGUAAAGCGUGCGCAGGCGGUUUGCUAAGACCGAUGUGAAAUCCCCGGGCUCAACCUGGGAACUGCAUUGGUGACUGGCAGGCUAGAGUAUGGCAGAGGGGGGUAGAAUUCCACGUGUAGCAGUGAAAUGCGUAGAGAUGUGGAGGAAUACCGAUGGCGAAGGCAGCCCCCUGGGCCAAUACUGACGCUCAUGCACGAAAGCGUGGGGGAGCAAACAGGAUCUGAGAUACCCUGGUAGUCCACGCCCUAAAACGAUGUCAACUAGUUGUUGGGGAUUCAUUUCCUUAGUAACGUAGCUAACGCGUGAAGUUGACCGCCUGGGGAGUACGGUCGCAAGAUUAAAACUCAAAUGAAUUGACGGGGUCAUAGCUGUUUCCU
rnacentral:rRNA from 1 species